AUUGAACGCUGGCGGCAUGCCUUACACAUGCAAGUCGAACGGCAGCACGGGAGCAAUCCUGGUGGCGAGUGGCGAACGGGUGAGUAAUAUAUCGGAACGUGCCCAGUCGUGGGGAUAACGUAGCGAAAGCUACGCUAAUACCGCAUACGAUCUACGGAUGAAAGCGGGGGAUCGCAAGACCUCGCGCGAUUGGAGCGGCCGAUAUCAGAUUAGGUAGUUGGUGAGGUAAAGGCUCACCAAGCCGACGAUCUGUAGCUGGUCUGAGAGGACGACCAGCCACACUGGGACUGAGACACGGCCCAGACUCCUACGGGAGGCAGCAGUGGGGAAUUUUGGACAAUGGGCGCAAGCCUGAUCCAGCAAUGCCGCGUGCAGGAUGAAGGCCUCGGUUG
rnacentral:rRNA from 1 species